UUCAACAGAAGGAGAUAAAUCUCCAUGGUGAUGCAUGAAAGACAUGCUCUUACAUGGCCUUAGAGGCGGACACCUCGCCACCUUCUCCUGGAGCCUCUUUCGCAGGGUUCUGAGGCUGCGGUUUUGUCGCCGCCGCCUCAGACUUCCCCUUGACAUUUUCCUCGGGCUUCCCCACCGAGGUCCCAGGAGCACCUUUCUCGGUGGCGGUGUUUUCGCCCACCUGAGGCUCACAAGCUUCCUUCUUCUUGGUCAGACGCAUUUUCUUAUUUUCGCCAUAUAUCCCUUUCCAUGAAUGGCAGUCACACGGCUCGGCCUCCUUCACUGCAGAUUUCACAGGUCUCAACUUCCUCGAUCUCAUGGCAAACCGAGAGAAUGACGAUGGAGGAAAGGACUUCA
rnacentral:lncRNA from 1 species